UAGACUUUUUCAUAAAGUACUGCUGAGUUUUUUCACAUAAAGAUGCUAUUGUGAACUGAAUGUAUUCCUUCAAAAUUCUUAUGUUGAAACCUUUAUCCCCAGUGUGGCUAUAUUUGGAGAUGAGGCCUUUAUUGAAGUAAUGAAAGUCAAGUGAAUUCAUAAAGAUAGGACCUUGAUCUAAUGAGAUUAGUUUCUUUGUAAGAAAAAACACCAGACAGCUCUCUCCCCUCUCCCUUUUUCCUUGCAUGCCACCCUCCCCCUCCCCCCUUUUUCUUCUCUUUCCCCACAGCCUUCUCUCCCCACCAUGUGAGGACACAACAAGAGGGCUACAUCUGCAAGCCAGGAAGACAGCCUUCACCAGAAACCAAAUCCCGCCAGACCUUGAUCUUGGACUUUCCAGCCUCCAGAACUGUGAGAAAGUAAAUUUUCAUUGUUUAAGCCACCCAGCCUAUGGUAUUUUGUUACAGCAACUCAUGCAGACUUUGGUACCAAGAAAUGGGGUGCUGUUGUAACAAGUACCUAAAAGUGUGGCCGCGGUUUUAGAACUGGUGGAUGGGGGGAGGUUGGAGGAAUCUGAGGCACAGGCUAGAAACAUGGAAUGUUAGAGGCAAUUCUGGUGAUUGCUCUGAAAGAAAAGAAGAGAGCUGGAGAGAAAGGUUCUCUUAGAGAAUCUUCUUAGGGAACACAUCAAUAAUCACGAACAGAAUGUUGAUAGAAAUACGGACGGUAAAGGUAUCAUAUGGAAAUAAGAAACAGAGAAUGACACAUCUGUAUCUGCGCAGGUUACCCGUCAGCCAUUUGAAUGGCAAGAAGGACACCACCCGUCAUACCAAGGAGUGCUCUUAUAAGCCGAGGGCUAUGUAACAGGCACUGGGUUCAUUCUUUAAUGAAAUACGAUAAAAAACCAAGGGACUCUUUAA